UAACCCUCAAGCUCAGCUUGGUGUUGGGGCCUGCCUAUCGGCAGCCCUUAAAAUCAGUGGCGGCGCCAUCUGGCUCUAAGCGUAGUAAUUUUUCUCGCUACAGGGACCUGGUGAACGCUUGCCAACAACCUAUAUUUUUUAUG
rnacentral:misc_RNA from 1 species